AGAGUUUGAUCAUGGCUCAGAACGAACGCUGGCGGCAUGCCUAACACAUGCAAGUCGAACGCCUGUAGCAAUACAGGAGUGGCGCACGGGUGAGUAACGCGUGGGAACCUGCCUAGUGGUAAGGAAUAACCGCGGGAAACUGCGGCUAAUACCUUAUGAGCCCCUACGGGGGAAAGAUUUAUCGCCAUUAGAGGGGCCCGCGUCCGAUUAGCUAGUUGGUGAGGUAACGGCUCACCAAGGCGACGAUCGGUAGCUGGUCUGAGAGGAUGAUCAGCCACACUGGGACUGAGACACGGCCCAGACUCCUACGGGAGGCAGCAGUGGGGAGUAUUGGACAAUGGGGGCAACCCUGAUCCAGCAAUGCCGCGUGAGUGAUGAAGGCCUUAGGGUUGUAAAGCUCUUUCGACGGGGAAGAUGAUGACGGUACCCGUAGAAGAAGCCCCGGCUAACUUCGUGCCAGCAGCCGCGGUAAUACGAAGGGGGCUAGCGUUGUUCGGAUUUACUGGGCGUAAAGGGCGCGUAGGCGGUGCAAUAAGUCAGGCGUGAAAGCCCCGGGCUCAACCCGGGAAUUGCGCUUGAUACUGUUGCGCUUGAAUCCAGGAGAGGAUGGCGGAAUUCCCAGUGUAGAGGUGAAAUUCGUAGAUAUUGGGAAGAACACCAGUGGCGAAGGCGGCCAUCUGGCCUGGAAUUGACGCUGAGGCGCAAAAGCGUGGGGAGCAAACAGGAUUAGAUACCCUCGUAGUCC
rnacentral:rRNA from 1 species